ACACUCAAACCCGAUUACUGAAUACCUAGGCCUGGCCCAAUUAGGUUCAACGGUCCACUAGUACAAUCUCCGCCACCAACGCCGGUAUAAUUCAUGUCGCAGGACCACCGUCGAUUUUCUUACCUCUCUCAAUAGUCUAUUCACCACUUGUAUCGGUUGUCAAAUCUCCACCGCCUCUAUCAUCAUCACCACCAAAGCAAGAAAUCAUCCUACCACCACCUACUCAUCACCGCUGCCUCCACUUUUAAUAUUUUGCCACUGUUUGGAAAGGGGAAAACAUUUUAUGGAAAAUGUUUUCCCCGUUUUCCUGUGUUUAGUUUCGGUAAAAUAUCUGGGUCAACGUAAAAUAUUUUACGGUCAAUGGAAAAAUGAGAGGAAAACACGGUAUUUUAACUUACCGUUUGGAAAAGGGUAAGUUGUUUUCCAGUUUUCUCUCGUCCCUUUCUCCACACCGAAAAAUCGAUCGACUGUUUGGAAUCCUUCUCACCGGCGAGGCGGACGGUCGUUUUCUCAGGACAAACAUGUGAAGGAAAUUGUCUUGAAAGCAAUGGGGCAGACAAUCAGUAAGACAGUAGCCAUUGCAGAGAUUUUAAAGAGGGAGAGGGCGGAGUUGGGGCAGGGGUGGAUACUCAAACUAUGGAAAUUAUCAAGGUAUAGAAUAUGGAUUUGGAUAACGUUAUGAUAACGGUGGAUACUCAAACUGGGGCAGAGGUGGUGGGCGAGGAAGAGGUUGGGGUUAUCGUGGUGCUGAUUAUGAAAGAGGUAGAGGUGGUGGUGGUGGUAGAGGCUAUAGCCGUGGCCAUGGAAGGAUGGGCGAUGGUCGAUCCAGGGGUGGUGGCUACUAAAGCACAAUCAAAGGACGCAUAAAGCUCGUGUUGUUCCCCCUUUUUUAGCUAGAUGCUUGCCUUGGUCGGUGGGAAAUUAUGGAAGUAGGUGUGUUUAUAAUAGCGUGAGUUUGUGGGUUAAAAUCUCAAGCAUUAUUAAGCAGUGGUUUUGUGUUUCUGCCUGGCAUCAUAUAUGGAUGAGGGAAAUGUUUUUAUUUCGCAUUUAGCCAAGGCCAAGAGGAUGGGUUUAUGAUUUGUGCUGUAUUUCAAGUUUAUAUGUAAAUAUUUGAUUUCUUUA